rnacentral:rRNA from 1 species
UACAUGGGGUGCAAACGUUGCUCGGAAUUAUUGGGCGUAAAGCGCGCGUAGGCGGUUACUUAAGUCGGAUGUGAAAGCCCUCGGCUUAACUGAGGAAGUGCACCCGAAACUGAGUAGCUAGAGUACUAAAGAGGGUCGCGGAAUUCCCGGUGUAGUGGUGAAAUGCGUAGAUAUCGGGAGGAACACCAGUGGCGAAGGCGACUACCUGGCCUGUACUUGACGCUGAGGCGCGAAAGCUAGGGGAGCAAACGGG